rnacentral:tRNA from 1 species
GCCUGGGUGGCUCAGUCGGUUAAGCGUCCGACUUCAGCUCAGGUCAUGAUCUCACGGCUUGUGGGUUCGAGCCCCGCGUCGGGCU